CUGUUUAGGCCUUGUGGGUUUCUUUGAAAACGAAAAAUAUCCUUUUACUGCAAACGGGAUUUGCAACAGUAUUUAUAUUUUUGUAAACGAAGCGGGGACAAAGCGGAGCAAUUUGGUCUGCCUUUCCUGUUGCCAGUGGGCGGCUGCGCUGUGGUAGCAUAGAAUUGGAAAGGGGAACAUCUCCUCUCUUCUGCCCCCCCUCCACGCAGCAUAGUUACAACAAAGAACAUACCGUGGGGUGGGGAAGGGGGCAGGAAGGGAUGCAGCAUUAAUCUUCCCCUUUAGGGCUCGCGGCUGGAGCAAAUUCCGUGAGAACUAGAGACAGGAGGCGACAGUAACAAAGGAUUUGGCCAGAGAGCCCAUCCUGCAUUUGAGGGAAUUAUGUUCCGGUUCAUGAGAGAUGGAGAGCCAGAGGAUCCAAUGUUUAUGAUGGAUCCUCUUGCUAUCCAUCAGCAGCAUGUGAAUCGUGUACUUUCAGGGGGAUUUGGAUAUAGCCCUUUCCUCAGCAUUAGCAAUGGGACAGUACCUGGAACACGCCAAGCUAGUCGAAGAAUGCAGGCUGGAACUGUUUCGCCCUUUGGGAUGGUAGGAAUGGCAGGUGGAUUUAUGGACAUGUUUGGAAUGAUGAAUGACAUGAUUGGGAACAUGGAGCACAUGACAAGUGGUGCCAAUUGCCAGACAUUUACUUCUUCCACCGUCAUAUCCUACUCAAAUCUGGGUGAUGGCCCUAAAGUCUAUCAGGAGACCUCAGAGACACGCUCUGCACCUGGUGGGAUCCGGGAGACACGGCGGACGGUGCGAGAUUCUGACAGUGGGCUGGAGCAGAUGUCAAUUGGGCACCACAUCAGAGAACGUGCACACAUCAUGCAGCGCUCACGCAAUCAUCGCACAGGUGACCAAGAGGAGAGGCAAGACUAUAUCAACCUGGAUGAGAGUGAUGCAGCUGCAUUUGAUGAUGAAUGGAGGCGAGAGACAUCCCGCUUCCGGACACAGAGGGGGCUGGACUAUCGGCGUCAUGAUGGAAGCAGUGGCCGAAGAAUUGAGGGGGGUCGUCUUGCUAUUCAGGGACCUGAGGAUUCUCCAACCAGACAGUCGCGUCGGUACGACUGGUGAAUCCACAGCAGAUGUGGGGGGUGGUGCAGUGCGGUCACCCCCAAAUCUACUUUCAUGCUCUUGUACAGACAGUGAAACUCUGAUGGUGAAGCCCCUACAAGACAACACUUGGAUCUUCCGCAAGCUGAAUUCUAGCUUCCUGCCCUCCUAAGAUUUAAAUUGACUAACUCUGCAUAGUUAUAUUUCUUGCAUAGAACAGUUGGCCAAGGAGAAUGUGAGGGACCUUUGUCUAUAAAUGAGUAACAUACCAAUUACUGUUUUCCUCUAACUCCUUUCCGCCCUACAAAAGCUCCCCAAUUUUCCAUUUGGAUAUUUUCGGGCGAUUCAGGAGUUCUUGCUCAUCCCCAUACCUCAUUUCUACUUACCCAUCUCAAACAGCAGCCACAUAACAGUUGACCUGCUAUUAGUUUCAAGUAGUUGGAAAACAACCUUUAGUUGUCCCUGCUCUUGGCCAGCCUGCCUUCCCUGGAACUUGGGAUAUGUAUGAGGUGCAAGGGAUCAAAUGAGGUGCGGACAAACCAAGCAGGUCCUACCUCUGUUCUCCAGUUGUCAGCUCCCAAUCUUAUAAAAUUUGAUUUUGUGAAACUUGUAACUAAAUGUUUAUUGAGUUGAAUAAAGAAAUGGAACCUGUAAAGCAAA